rnacentral:rRNA from 1 species
AUGAUUACUUCGGUGGAGACAUAUUUAAGAAUGGUUUUACUGAAUAAUUUUUUCUUGCUGAAACUAGAAGAAGGGAGCAAGCGGCAGAAGAUUAUGAUGUUGCUGCUAUUGGGAGACGCGGUAAAAUAUGGACAAGUUCCUGUAUUUUAUGGAAGGUGUAGUAUUGAACCUUCUUGCACUGAUCUAGAAUGGAUCUUGACUUCGCCCAAGAGUGAGUCUCCUUUUCAUUCGAGCGGGACGAUGAGGGAAAGAACUGGUUGUGGUGAAAGUCAGUUUAGUGCAUCAAGGAUUGGAGGUUCUGAGAUUUGCAAGAGGUGA